rnacentral:lncRNA from 8 species
AUGCAGAAGGAGAACGCUGACCUCUCACCUUUGGAGACGAACUUGAUAUUGCCCCAGGAACAAUCUGGAAAAAGAAGAGAGACAUGGUGCCUACUAGAGCAAAUAGAUUGUAAUCACCACAACAUGCCUGAAGUUGUCCGCAAGCAUGCCCAAUCAUUGAGACAGUCUUUGAAAAUAGCGGUGAGUGUAUGUGUGUGUGUGUGUGUGUGUGUGUGUGUGUGUGUGUGUGUGUGUGUGUGUGUGUGUGUGUGUGUGUGCGUGCGUGUGUGUGUGUGUGUGCGUGCGCGCUUGUGUGUGUGUGCAUCUGGGUUGAAGGUUCUCUCUCACACCUUCUUCCAUCUCGCAUCCCAGGCUGUGCCUGACUCCGGCCCGUGUCCGUCUCCGUGCCAUGUCGACCUCGACCCCUGGAACAGUCUGAGGUGGAAGAUGGGUCGUCUUCCUCACUGGAUGAAGAUUCUUAAAUCCGCUAGAAAGAUGUGUCGGCAUCGAUUAAUUGUCUCUGGCCCCCUCCCAGUUAGGGGGAGUGAUGAGCUCUACAGCAGAGUCUCACAACUCAAUCGCUGGUUGAAAACUGUUUUCUGCCCCUCCCAAAAGAUAGAAUUUGUAGAUAAUUGGCCCUCUUUCUGGGACUCACCCACAAACAGGACCAAGCCUGGCCUGUUGAGGAGUGACGGACUCCAUCCUAGCUGGAGGGGUGCUCUCAUCUUAUCUACGAACAUAGACAGGGCUCUAACUCCUCUAGCUCCACAAUGAAAUAGGGUGCAGGCCAGGCAGCAGGCUGUUAGCCAGCCUGCCAGCUUAGUGGAGUCUGCCACUAGCACAGUCAGUGUAGUCAGCUCAGCUUCCCCCAUUGAGACCGUGUCUGUGCCUCGAUCUAGGUUGGGCAAAAUUAAAAAUGGCGGUGUUCGCUUUAGCAAUCUCACUAGUAUAAAGACCUCCUCCAUUCCUGCCAUUAUUGAAAGAGAUUGUGAUACCUCACAUCUCAAAAUUGGGUUACUUAAUGUUAGAUCCCUCACUUCCAAGGCAGUUAUAGUCAAUGAACUAAUCACUGAUAAUAAUCUUGAUGUGAUUGGCCUGACUGAAACAUGGCUUAAGCCUGAUGAAUUUACUGUGUUAAAUGAGGCCUCACCCCCAGGUUACAUUAGUGACCAUACCCCCCGUGCAUCCGGCAAAGGCGGAGGUGUUGCUAACAUUUACGAUAGCAAAUUUCAAU